UACGGGGGGAGCAAGCGUUGCUCGGAAUUACUGGGCGUAAAGCGCGUGUAGGCGGGAAGAUAAGUCGGGUGUGAAAUCCCUGGGCUCAACCUAGGAACUGCAUCCGAAACUGCCUUUCUGGAGUGAUGGAGAGGAAAGCGGAAUUCCCGGUGUAGAGGUGAAAUUCGUAGAUAUCGGGAGGAACACCAGUGGCGAAGGCGGCUUUCUGGCCAUCAACUGACGCUGAGACGCGAAAGCGUGGGGAGCAAACAGG
rnacentral:rRNA from 1 species